GUGGGGAAUAUUGGGCAAUGGAUGCAAGUCUGACCCAGCCAUCCCGCGUGCCGGAAGAAGGCCCUCAGGGUUGUAAACGGCUUUUGACGGUGAAGAAUCGACAGGAUGCGUCCUGUUUUGACGGUAGCCGUUGAAUAAGCACCGGCUAACUCCGUGCCAGCAGCCGCGGUAAUACGGAGGGUGCGAGCGUUGUCCGGAUUUAUUGGGUUUAAAGGGUGCGUAGGCUGGAAGGUCAGUCAGCGGUGAAAAGCUAUCGCUUAACGAUAGUCUUGCCGCAGAUACUUCCUUUCUUGGAUGAGGAGGAGGCCACUGGAACGGAUGGUGUAGCGGUGAAAUGCAUAGAUAUCAUCCAGAACACCGAUUGCGAAGGCAGGUGGCUGUACCUUAAUCGACGCUGAUGCACGAAAGCAUGGGGAGCAAACAGGAUUAGAUACCCUUGUAGUCC
rnacentral:rRNA from 1 species